GACGAACGCUGGCGGCGUGCUUAACACAUGCAAGUCGAACGGAGAGGCCCUGCUUUUGUGGGGUGCUCGAGUGGCGAACGGGUGAGUAACACGUGAGUAACCUGCCCUUGACUUUGGGAUAACUUCAGGAAACUGGGGCUAAUACCGGAUAGGAGCUCCUGCUGCAUGGUGGGGGUUGGAAAGUUUCGGCGGUUGGGGAUGGACUCGCGGCUUAUCAGCUUGUUGGUGGGGUAGUGGCUUACCAAGGCUUUGACGGGUAGCCGGCCUGAGAGGGUGACCGGCCACACUGGGACUGAGAUACGGCCCAGACUCCUACGGGAGGCAGCAGUGGGGAAUAUUGCACAAUGGGCGGAAGCCUGAUGCAGCAACGCCGCGUGCGUGAUGACGGCCUUCGGGUUGUAAACCGCUUUCGCCUGUGACGAAGCGUGAGUGACGGUAAUGGGUAAAGAAGCACCGGCUAACUACGUG
rnacentral:rRNA from 1 species